AGCGAACGCUGGCGGCAGGCUUAACACAUGCAAGUCGAGCGGGCGUAGCAAUACGUCAGCGGCAGACGGGUGAGUAACGCGUGGGAACGUACCUUUUGGUUCGGAACAACACAGGGAAACUUGUGCUAAUACCGGAUAAGCCCUUACGGGGAAAGAUUUAUCGCCGAAAGAUCGGCCCGCGUCUGAUUAGCUAGUUGGUGAGGUAACGGCUCACCAAGGCGACGAUCAGUAGCUGGUCUGAGAGGAUGAUCAGCCACAUUGGGACUGAGACACGGCCCAAACUCCUACGGGAGGCAGCAGUGGGGAAUAUUGGACAAUGGGGGCGAACCCUGAUCCAGCCAUGCCGCGUGAGUGAUGAAGGCCCUAGGGUUGUAAAGCUCUUUUGUGCGGGAAGAUAAUGACGGUACCGCAAGAAUAAGCCCCGGCUAACUUCGUGCCAGCAGCCGCGG
rnacentral:rRNA from 1 species